GUGGCAGAUAACAGCUACCCUGUGGCUGGCUGGAAUGGCUUUCCCAAAAUGGAUCAGAUCACAGCUUCUUAACAGAGAUAAUUUCUUUACAGUAUUUUGCAGUACUCUCAUGAAAAGAUGAAAGCCUUCCAAGUCAGGAUUGAUGCAUCAUGGCUGGGAUGAUCAUGAGCAUAGCCAUAAACUGAAGUGAUUCAGACUUCUGUCUUCAGAGCACUUUUCCAAGGUUUCAGGUAUAGGAGAACCAUGAGAACACAUUGGAGAUCAGAAAUCAAAGGGCUGCAGAACUCAGGAGAAGCAUUACUGAGCUUAAAGAAUCAUAGAAUGGCUCAGGUUGGAAGGGACGCCCAGGAUUAUCAAGUUCCAAACCCCCCUCCAUCAUUAGGAUUCUGAUGGAUCCCAGGCCAUUCUGUGAUUCUGUGAAUCUGUAAUGGAACUUAAACAAGUGAAAAAUAGCUGAGAUCUGGAUUAAUUCUUGGAAAUUUAUCAGUAAAGAUGCAAGAGGACUCAAACAGUUGGACAACCCACAAAAUGCCUGGUCUGUCCCUUAACAUCAAUGUUUCCUGCAGCCCCCAAAGGAAAAAAAGCUUACAGCAUAUGUUGCUCUGUGUCUUCAACAAGAAAAUAUCUGGUAGUUGUUAUUCCUUCUUUUAACAAUACAAAAAUUACUCCUCUGUAGAGAACUUAUUUUUAAUAAAUAUUCAUUCAUUUUCUUGGUGUCUCACAAUGUGUUAUAUGUGUUUAUAUACAGUGAUUUUUAUCUGUUGAACAAAAUAAAAAUUUUUCUAGCUGUCUGAAAAGCUGAAUGGGCAAAUGCUCAACACAUGCAAGCUAGAUUCUUUCUGAAAUAACAGGAAUUCAAAGC
ensembl:lncRNA